ensembl:lncRNA
UCGGCUUUGGCACAGCCCAGAAAUGUCUCCAAACACCGGGCAUUUUGGGGAGGAUAGAGGAAGUGUUUCUCCAUUUCCUCUCAUACGAUGGAGCUUGCUGCCAACGUCCCCCCCUGGGGAGCUGCCAGGUUUGGUGCUGCUGGAGCCCUGCCUUGAAGCAGUGACACGGGGUGAUGCAAUGGGCCGCAGCUCUUGCACCACUGGCACAGGGAAAGCGCCCAUGGUGCCCGCGGUCCUGGGGUGGUGUGGGGCAAGGGAGCAGCUGCACGAGGGCUGCCAGGGCUGUUUGCUUCCUUGGCAGAUCCCUGGUGUUUCCCUGCCUGUUCUCCUGUGAGUGAGAGGAUGGAGUCUUGUGUGAGAAACUUGCAGUCCAACCUGUAAAAUAACAAAGGACUCAAUAGGAGGGACAGAAAGGAUCAAAAAAUGGAAUAAGAAACCUCUCUCAAAACGUUGCUACUGAUCAGAACUGGCUGUAGGAGUCGGAUAUCUGCAUGAAAGUGAAACCACUUCUGAGACAUGCAUUUUCCCUUUGCUCUGUGUUAUAGCUUAUGUGCAGACUGCAGCACAGUUCUUGCUGUCUCUGCCG